GACGCGCAGCUGGAGUCAGUGUGCCGCCCGCCGUCCGCCGCGCAUGACGCACUGCUGAGCGCCGCCGCCCGGACCUCGUCAGAGGUAUCUGGUGUAGGAGCAGCAUCACCUUGCUCUGAAGGCAGCUGACGCAGCAGCGAGUCUCGCGGCAGAGUCAUAACAUCUCGGGGAUGGGUUCCACCUCACCCCCCCCCCCCGGACCUGCACUCCCAGCAGCAGCAGCAGCGCACUCAACACUAGACUGUCACUCACUACUCGCCUCAUCUGAUGCGCGCCAGUAGUGCGUGAGAGAUGACGGAGACCUCGUGCUCUGUGAUUAGGUAGCUCGGGCAGGCGCGGAUCCCGGAGGGGGGGGGCGGGGACAGACCCCAUGGAGUCUCACUCUAUGUGUUCUGCUCUCGACCUCCUCCUGGAGACGGAUGCGCGCCUGACUGACAACAUGUAAGAUAGGGUUAAGCUAGCGAGUAAUUCUUAUAGAGUUUAAAUAGACACCAAGUAUGUGAGCAAUUUUUAUUCUGCUUUUAAGCCUAGGAUAGCUGCCCUGUGGCCUGGGCCAGCAGGCCAAGGCCACAGGGCCUCGGGGGUAGCAGCGACGUGGCCUCACACGUUGCUCCUAUUCCUCUUAGUUUCUAAGACUUCAAUCCCUAAAAUUAAAAAAAACUAAUUAUACCAACAAAACACGCACAAAUGAGUUUUAUUCACGACCUCCCCGACCCUCUAUCCCUACGUCAUGUGGUUCACAGAUCUGUGCGAGAACUGCACUUAGCUGAGUGACGUUUAGUUAUGUCUUUCUGUCUCUACUUUCCUCUUGUCAAUGAUAAAGACAGCUUGACAGCUUAUGGCGAUAUUUUGCUAUGCGUUUGCUGAGCGUACUUAAAUGCGGCAUUAAGUUAACAUGUCUUGUCAGAAGUAAUACCUUGGGCCC